rnacentral:tRNA from 1 species
GGAGCGUUAGCUCAGCCGGGAGAGCAAUUGCCUUACAAGCAAUAGGUCGGGGGUUCGAUCCCCUCACGCUCCACCA